rnacentral:rRNA from 1 species
CCUACGGGAGGCAGCAGUGAGGAAUAUUGGUCAAUGGGCGAGAGCCUGAACCAGCCAAGUCGCGUGAGGGAGUACUGCCCUAUGGGUUGUAAACCUCUUUUGUCGGGGAGCAAAAGCCGGACGUGUCCGGCUGUGAGAGUACCCGAAGAAAAAGCAUCGGCUAACUCCGUGCCAGCAGCCGCGGUAAUACGGAGGAUGCGAGCGUUAUCCGGAUUUAUUGGGGUUAAAGGGUGCGCAGGCGGAUUUUUAAGUCAGCGGUCAAAUCGUGGGGCUCAACCCCAUCCAGCCGUUGAAACUGGGGAUCUAGAGUGUGCGAGAGGUAGGCGGAAUGCGUGGUGUAGCGGUGAAAUGCAUAGAUAUCACGCAGAACCCCGAUGGCGAAGGCAGCAUACCGGUGCACAACUGACGCUCAGGCACGAAAGCGUGGGUAUCGAACAGGAUUAGAUACCCCUGUAGUC